rnacentral:piRNA from 1 species
UUAUUCAAGAAAGAAACAACA